GGCGAACGGGUGAGUAACGCGUGAGCAAUCUACCUUAGUUACAGGGAUAGCCCGAGGAAACUCGGAUUAAUACCUGAUAUUCUUUAUUUCUCGCAUGAGAAUAAAAGGAAAGGUCAGCCGAACUAAGAUGAGCUCGCGUUCUAUCAGCUAGUUGGUGAGGUAAAAGCUCACCAAGGCUACGACGGACAGCUGGUCUGAGAGGACGAUCAGCCACACUGGGACUGAGACACGGCCCAGACUCCUACGGGAGGCUGCAGCAGGGAAUAUUGCGCAAUGAGCGAAAGCUUGACGCAGCGACACCGCGUGUGGGAUGACGGAUCUAGGUUUGUAAACCACUUUCAGGAGGGAAGAAAAUGACGGUACCUCCACAAGAAGCCCCGGCCAACUACGUGCCAGCAGCCGCGGUAAUACGUAGGGGGCGAGCGUUGUCCGGAUUUAUUGGGCGUAAAGAGCUC
rnacentral:rRNA from 1 species